rnacentral:rRNA from 1 species
AUUGAACGCUGGCGGCAGGCCUAACACAUGCAAGUCGAGCGGAUGAAGGGAGCUUGCUCCUGGAUUCAGCGGCGGACGGGUGAGUAAUGCCUAGGAAUCUGCCUGGUCGUGGGGGAUAACGUCCGGAAACGGGCGCUAAUACCGCAUACGUCCUGAGGGAGAAAGUGGGGGAUCUUCGGACCUCACGCUAUCAGAUGAGCCUAGGUCGGAUUAGCUAGUUGGUGGGGUAAAGGCCUACCAAGGCGACGAUCCGUAACUGGUCUGAGAGGAUGAUCAGUCACACUGGAACUGAGACACAGUCCAGACUCCUACGGGAGGCAGCAGUGGGGAAUAUUGGACAAUGGGCGAAAGCCUGAUCCAGCCAUGCCGCGUGUGUGAAGAAGGUCUUCGGAUUGUAAAGCACUUUAAGUUGGGAGGAAGGGCAGUAAGUUAAAACCUUGCUGUUUUGACGUUACCAACAGAAAAAGCACCGGCUAACUUCGUG